GGGACCAGUACGCGGCAUAUUUUACCAGGAUGCAAAGAAGUUUACUCAUUUAUUUGGUUUUAGUUGUUUGCACUGUACAGAAUAUGAUGGAUCAGGGAGUUGAUGUUUAUAUCAGCUUAAACUAUAAUUUUUUUUAGCAUUAUAAAGAUACAUAUUACAUGAUCAUUUUCUGUUUUCAUUUCAAUCAAUGAAAUGAUUAGCAUCUUGAACGACGAAUACUCAUAUUUUGGUCCAUCUCUUGGACAAGCAAUGCACUUCUAUACUGAGUAAACAGUUCACAAGGAGUUUAUCAGUACUGCUAUAUAUUCUUGUGUUUAUACAUCCUCAAAUCCAAAUAUUUGUGUUUUUACCAUAUAUAUCUGUAUAUGAAACUUCUGAGUUCUUUCAAUUCCUUCUUCUUGUAAACGCUCUAAAACAUCCACAUUUUGUAUUAUGCAGAUCUUUAAACUCUAACAACUUUAUUGGACGAAUACCUGCGACCAUUGGCUAUCUGUCAAAACUUUGAAACAUCCACAUUUUGUAUUAUGCAGAUCUAUAAACUCUAACAACUUUAUUGGACGAAUACCUGCGACCAUUGGCUAUCUGUCAAAGCUUUAUUGGCUGGAUUUAGCUGACAAUAAGCUUACUGGAACACUUCCAGUCUCUAGUGGGAGCUCACCUGGUC
rnacentral:lncRNA from 1 species